rnacentral:SRP_RNA from 1 species
CGUCGGCUUUCUCGCGACGGUCAGCCGUGAAUCCCGCCAGGCCCGGAAGGGAGCAACGGUAGCGGUGAUACCGGGUGCCGGGAAUCGGCUGGCGCGG